rnacentral:misc_RNA from 1 species
AGUCGAGGAUUAUUCUCAAAGCUACAAUAGUGGAACAAAAUUAAAAGGUUAUUUCCUUUGCCUACAGGAAAAUAUUAGCAGAUUUUGGUGAAUGCCUUCACCGCUAUCAAAAUAUUCAUGAAACUAACAUGUCACCAAACUUGAAUAAAUGCAAACAAGGAAAAGGGAACAUGUAAAAACAAAAUAUCUUCUUUAAGUUUCACAAAUAAUAAUAAUAAUAAUA